UAGCAAUACCAUUUGAUGGCACUGUCC
rnacentral:sRNA from 1 species